rnacentral:rRNA from 1 species
CCUACGGGUGACUGCAGUCGAGAAUCUUUCACAAUGGGGGAAACCCUGAUGGUGCGACGCCGCGUGGGGGAAUGCAGGUCUUCGGAUUGUAAACCGCUGUUAUGUGGGAGCAAAUUAAAAAGAUAGUACCACAAGAGGAAGAGACGGCUAAUUCCGUGCCAGCAGCCGCGGUAAUACAGAGGUCUCAAGCGUUGUUCGGAAUCACUGGGCGUAAAGCGUGCGUAGGCUGUUUCGUAAGUCGUGUGUGAAAGGCGCGGGCUCAACCCGCGGACGGCACAGGAAACUGGGAGGCUAGAGUAAUGGAGGGGGAGCCGGAAUUCGCGGUGUAGCGGUGAAAUGCGUAGAUAUCAAGAGGAACACUCAUGGCGAAGGCGGGUUCCUGGACAUUAACUGACGCUGAGGCACGAAGGCGAGGGGAGCGAAAGGGAUUAGAUACCCUUGUAGUC